AUUACUUGCUCUCCAUAUGGCUAUGUUUCUUCUUUGGGCCUUCCUAGUCAAAGCUUGUCUGGAACUUUAUCUCCAUUGAUUGGGAACCUUAGUGAGCUGCAGUCAGUGUUGCUUCAGAAUAAUGCUAUUUCGGGUCCGAUUCC